GUAACAGGGGGAGCGAUUAGACAAAGGGGUAGAGCUAUAUAACAGAUAGCUGUGUAAUCGUUCGAGUUACAUCAAAACAUCUUCAAUAUUUAUUACUUACUUUCCUUUCUAUUUGUCGGCUAGCUCGUGACUAGCCGAUUUUUUC
rfam:Staphylococcus capitis strain CR03 genome assembly, contig: BN1517_Contig_2